GCCAGUUUUCUCAAUGGUUAGAGAAUUUGCCUGAAGAACAAAGGGUCACAGGUUCAAUUCCAGUCAAGGGCA
rfam:Myotis brandtii contig306822, whole genome shotgun sequence.